UACGUAGGGGGCAAGCGUUAUCCGGAAUCAUUGGGCGUAAAGCGCGUGUAGGCGGUUCCGUAAGUCCGCUCUGAAGCCCAGGGCUCAACCCUGGGAGGCGGGUGGAUACUACGGAACUGGAGUACGGAAGAGGAGAUUGGAAUUCCUGGUGUAGCGGUGAAAUGCGCAGAGUAUCAAGGAGGAAUACCGGCGGCGAAGGCGGCCCUCUGGAUCGUUGCUGACGCUGAGACGCGAAAGCGUGGGAGCAAACAGGAUAGAU
rnacentral:rRNA from 1 species